AUUGAACGCUGGCGGCAUGCCUUACACAUGCAAGUCGAACGGUAACAGGUCUUCGGAUGCUGACGAGUGGCGAACGGGUGAGUAAUACAUCGGAACGUGCCCGAUCGUGGGGGAUAACGAAGCGAAAGCUUUGCUAAUACCGCAUAAGAUCUACGGAUAAAAGCAGGGGACCGCAAGGCCUUGCGCGAACGGAGCGGCCGAUGGCAGAUUAGGUAGUUGGUGGGAUAAAAGCUUACCAAGCCGACGAUCUGUAGCUGGUCUGAGAGGACGACCAGCCACACUGGGACUGAGACACGGCCCAGACUCCUACGGGAGGCAGCAGUGGGGAAUUUUGGACAAUGGGCGCAAGCCUGAUCCAGCCAUGCCGCGUGCAGGAUGAAGGCCUUCGGGUUGUAAACUGCUUUUGUACGGAACGAAAAGACUCUGGUUAAUACCUGGGUCCAUGACGGUACCGUAAGAAUAAGCACCGGCUAACUACGUGCCAGCAGCCGCCGUAACAC
rnacentral:rRNA from 1 species